AACGAACGCUGGCGGCAGGCCUAACACAUGCAAGUCGAGCGAGCAUUUCGGUCCUAGCGGCGGACGGGUGAGUAACGCGUGGGAACGUGCCCUUUUCUGCGGAAUAGUCCUGGGAAACUGGGGGUAAUACCGCAUACGCCCUUUUGGGGAAAGAUUUAUCGGAGAAGGAUCGGCCCGCGUUGGUUUAGGUAGUUGGUGGGGUAAUGGCCCACCAAGCCGACGAUCCAUAGCUGGUUUGAGAGGAUGAUCAGCCACACUGGGACUGAGACACGGCCCAGACUCCUACGCGAGGCAGCAGUGGGGAAUCUUAGACAAUGGGGGCAACCCUGAUCUAGCCAUGCCGGGUGAGUGAUGAAGGCCUUAGGGUUGUAAAGCUCUUUCAGCUGGGAAGAUAAUGACGGUACCAGCAGAAGAAGCCCCGGCUAACUCCGUG
rnacentral:rRNA from 1 species